AUUGAACGCUGGCGGCAGGCCUAACACAUGCAAGUCGAACGAGUGGCGGACGGGUGAGUAAUGUCUGGGAAACUGCCUGACGGAGGGGGAUAACUACUGGAAACGGUAGCUAAUACCGCAUACCAUCAGAUGUGCCCAGAGGGGAUGAGCUUGUUGGUGGGGUAACGGCUCACCAAGGCGACGAUCCCUAGCGGGUCUGAGAGGAUGACCGGCCACACUGUAACUGAGACACGGACCAGACGCCUACGGGAGGCAGCAGUGGGGAAUUUUGGACAAUGGACGCAAGCCUGAUGCAGCCAUGCCGCGUGUGUGAAGAAGGCCUUCGGGUUGUAAAGUACUGUCUGUGGGGAGGCGUUACCCACAGAAGAAGCACCGGCUAACUCCGUGCCAGCAGCCGCGGUAAUAC
rnacentral:rRNA from 1 species